rnacentral:rRNA from 1 species
GAUGAACGCUGGCGGCGUGCCUAAUACAUGCAAGUCGAGCGAACAGACGAGGAGCUUGCUCCUCUGACGUUAGCGGCGGACGGGUGAGUAACACGUGGAUAACCUACCUAUAAGACUGGGAUAACUUCGGGAAACCGGAGCUAAUACCGGAUAAUAUAUUGAACCGCAUGGUUCAAUAGUAAAAGACGGUUUUGCUGUCACUUAUAGAUGGAUCCGCGCCUCAUUAGCUAGUUGGUAAGGUAACGGGUUACCAAGGCAACGAUGCGUGGCCGACCUGAGAGGGUGAUCGGCCACACUGGAACUGAGACACGGUCCAGGCUCCUACGGGAGGCAGCAGUAGGGAAUCUUACGCAAUGGGCGAAAGCCUGACGGAGCAACGCCGCGUGAGUGAUGAAGGUCUUCGGAUCGUAAAACUCUGUUAUUAGGGAAGAACAAAUGUGUAAGUAACUAUGCACGUCUUGACGGUACCUAAUCAGAAAGCCACGGCUAACUACGUG